AUUGAACGCUGGCGGAAUGCUUUACACAUGCAAGUCGAACGGCAGCACGGACUUCGGUCUGGUGGCGAGUGGCGAACGGGUGAGUAAUGUAUCGGAACGUGCCCAGUCGUGGGGGAUAACGUAGUGAAAAUUACGCUAAUACCGCAUACGAUCUAUGGAUGAAAGCGGGGGAUCGCAAGACCUCGCGCGAUUGGAGCGGCCGAUAUCAGAUUAGGUAGUUGGUGGGGUAAAGGCCCACCAAGCCAACGAUCUGUAGCUGGUCUGAGAGGACGACCAGCCACACUGGGACUGGGACACGGUCCAGACUCCUACGGGGGGCAGCAGUGGGGAAUUUUGGACAAUGGGCGAAAGCCUGAUCCAGCCAUUCCGCGUGCAGGAUGAAGGCCCUCGGGUUGUAAACUGCUUUUGUACAGAACGAAAAGGUUUCUACUAAUACUAGGAGCUCAUGACGGUACUGUAAGAAUAAGCACCGGCUAACUACGUGCCAGCAGCCGCAGUAA
rnacentral:rRNA from 1 species